rnacentral:rRNA from 1 species
UGUAAAUUUAACUGUUAAUCCAAAGGGGUACAGCUCUUUGGAAUAGGAUACAACCUUAAUUAGAGAGUAAGCAUAAAUCAACUACCAUAGUUGGCCUAAAAGCAGCCAUCAAUUAAGAAAGCGUUCAAGCUCAACAAAUUAAUUAUUAUUUAAUACAAACAAUAAACUCAAACUCCUAAUACCAAACUGGACUAAUCUAUACCAAUAUAGAAGCAAUACUGUUAAUAUGAGUAACAAGAUUUAAAUCUCCUAGCACAAGUAUACAUCAGAACAAAUAUAUAACUGAUAAUUAACGGCCAAAUAAAUAAAUCCCAUCAUAAAACAUUUAUUUUACCACCGUUAACCCGACACAGGAGUGCACUUUAAGGAAAGAUUAAAAGAAGUAAAAGGAACUCGGCAAACACAAACCCCGCCUGUUUACCAAAAACAUCACCUCUAGCAUUACUAGUAUUAGAGGCACUGCCUGCCCAGUGACAACUGUUUAACGGCCGCGGUAUCCUGACCGUGCAAAGGUAGCAUAAUCAUUUGUUCCCUAAAUAGGGACUUGUAUGAAUGGCCACACGAGGGUUUAACUGUCUCUUACUUCCAAUCAGUGAAAUUGACCUUUCCGUGAAGAGGCGGAAAUAUACCAAUUAGACGAGAAGACCCUAUGGAGCUUUAAUUUAUCUACUCCAAUAGAAUAACUAAUUACCCACACAGGAAUAACACCUCAUUCUAACUGGAUAGAAAAUUUCGGUUGGGGUGACCUCGGAGUAUAAACUAACCUCCGAGAAUUUUUACCAAGACUAACAAGUCAAAGUACAAUUAUACCAAUUGAUCCAGUCUUACUGAUCAACGGAACAAGUUACCCUAGGGAUAACAGCGCAAUCCUAUUCUAGAGUCCUUAUCGACAAUAGGGUUUACGACCUCGAUGUUGGAUCAGGACAUCCCAAUGGUGUAGCAGCUAUUAAUGGUUCGUUU